rnacentral:rRNA from 1 species
UAAUACCGAAUGACGUGCGAGAGCCUCCUGGUUCUUGUACCAAAGGCGGGGAUCCGCAAGGACCUGUCACCUGGGGAUGGGCUCACGGCCUAUCAGCUAGUUGGUGAGGUAACGGCUCACCAAGGCGACGACGGGUAGCCGACCUGAGAGGGUCGUCGGCCGCACUGGGACUGAGACACUGCCCAGACUCCUACGGGAGGCAGCAGAGGAGAAUCAUUCGCAAUGGACGAAAGUCUGACGGUGCGACGCCGCGUGAGGGAUGAAGGCCUUCGGGUUGUAAACCUCUGUCAGGAGUAGGGAACGGCAGGGUCGCUAAUAGCGGCUCUGCGUGACUAAGGCUCCAAAGGAAGCCACGGCUAACUACGUGCCAGCAGCCGCGGUAAUACGUAGGUGGCGAGCGUUACUCGGAAUCACUGGGCAUAAAGGGCGUGUAGGCGGAUGCGUAAGUCCGGUGUAAAAGCCCCCGGCUCAACCGGGGAAGGCCAUUGGAUACUGCGUGUCUUGAGUGCGGGAGGGGAGAGUGGAACUCUUGGUGGAGCGGUGAAAUGCGUAGAUAUCAAGAGGAACGCCGGUGGCGAAAGCGACUCUCUGGCCCGUUACUGACGCUGAGGCGCGAAAGCUAGGGGAGCAAACGGGAUUAGAUACCCCGGUAGUCCUAGCCCUAAACGAUG